CCGGCAGUCCCCGGAACGGAAGUCUGUACGCUCUGGGAAGCACAAAGGCGGCCCACUGACGGAGUUCCAGGAGAUUUGCUGACCGUCAACCAUGGAGCCAGGAUGACGUGAAGCCAGGAUGACUGCACUGGGAUGACGCACACCGGACCAUCAUUUGCUUUAUCAGAAUGGACUGUGCUUGUCUGCACGUAGAGAACUUUUCAUCCCCCUCCCUUAAUUUCUUUGUUCUAUUCCCUGCUUCCUCCUUAUAAAAAUCUCUGCCUCCACUGACAGGUGGAGAUGGGCUUUGAGAUAUGAGACCCCCAUCUUCCCAGGGGAUGGGCUUUGAGACAUGAGUCCCCCAUCUUCCAGAUGGCCAGCACCUGCAAAUAAACCACUUUCCUUUACAUCA